GGCGGCAGGCCUAACACAUGCAAGUCGAGCGGCAGCACGGGUACUUGUACCUGGUGGCGAGCGGCGGACGGGUGAGUAAUACCUAGGAAUCUGCCUGGUAGUGGGGGAUAACGUUCGGAAACGGACGCUAAUACCGCAUACGUCCUACGGGAGAAAGCAGGGGACCUUCGGGCCUUGCGCUAUCAGAUGAGCCUAGGUCGGAUUAGCUUGUUGGUGAGGUAAUGGCUCACCAAGGCGACGAUCCGUAACUGGUCUGAGAGGAUGAUCAGUCACACUGGAACUGAGACACGGUCCAGACUCCUACGGGAGGCAGCAGUGGGGAAUAUUGGACAAUGGGCGAAAGCCUGAUCCAGCCAUGCCGCGUGUGUGAAGAAGGUCUUCGGAUUGUAAAGCACUUUAAGUUGGGAGGAAGGGCAGUUACCUAAUACGUNUCUGUUUUGACGUUACCGACAGAAUAAGCAC
rnacentral:rRNA from 1 species